rnacentral:rRNA from 1 species
GUCCACGCGGUAAACGAUGGGCACUAGGUGUGGGGGUAUCCACUCCUCCCGUGCCGAAGCUAACGCAUUAAGUGCCCCGCCUGGGGAGUACGGCCGCAAGGUUAAAACUCAAAGGAAUUGACGGGGCCCGCACAAGCGGUGGAGCAUGUGGUUUAAUUCGACGCAACGCGAAGAACCUUACCUGGGCUUGACAUCCCUGGAACUCCCUGGAAACAGGGAGGUGCCCUCGAAAGGGGGAGCCAGGAGACAGGUGCUGCAUGGCUGUCGU